rnacentral:rRNA from 1 species
GACGAACGCUGGCGGCGUGCUUAACACAUGCAAGUCGAACGGAAAGGCCCUGCUUUUGUGGGGUGCUCGAGUGGCGAACGGGUGAGUAACACGUGAGUAACCUGCCCUUGACUUUGGGAUAACUUCAGGAAACUGGGGCUAAUACCGGAUAGGAGCUCCUGCUGCAUGGUGGGGGUUGGAAAGUUUCGGCGGUUGGGGAUGGACUCGCGGCUUAUCAGCUUGUUGGUGGAGUAGUGGCUUACCAAGGCUUUGACGGGUAGCCGGCCUGAGAGGGUGACCGGCCACAUUGGGACUGAGAUACGGCCCAGACUCCUACGGGAGGCAGCAGUGGGGAAUAUUGCACAAUGGGCGGAAGCCUGAUGCAGCAACGCCGCGUGCGGGAUGACGGCCUUCGGGUUGUAAACCGCUUUCGCCUGUGACGAAGCGUGAGUGACGGUAAUGGGUAAAGAAGCACCGGCUAACUACGUGC